UAGUAUCUAAUGGGCAUAGAGUUUAACUUCAUAGCCUGACCCGUAUCACUUUCGAUUUGCUCUUGCUCGCGCAGCUCUGCAUAUUUCGCUCUCUCUCUCCCUCAACCUUCAAAGCAAGAAUUGGGCACUCAAACGCGUGGAACUCUCACCCCGAGAGCUACGGCCCUGGGUCCCGUACCUGCCACGUCUGCGGAGACCCCCAUGGGUUGAUCAGGAAGUAUGGUCUCAUGUGCUGCAGACAGUGCUUCCGCAGCAACGCCAAGGAAAUUAGCUUCAUUAAGUACCAUUAAAUGGGUGUAAUUGGCUACAGCGCAAGAAUAGAGGUCUUGGCCCAAGCAAGACCAGAUUAGUUAUUUCAAAGUUUGAAGAAACUUUUGAGAAUUUAUGUUUUGGUUUAUCUAAUGUUGAACCUGUGGUGAUUGCUAGAUAAUGAAUAUUUUUGCAUUACUCA